AGUGAACGCUGGCGGUAGGCCUAACACAUGCAAGUCGAACGGCAGCACAGUAAGAGCUUGCUCUUACGGGUGGCGAGUGGCGGACGGGUGAGGAAUACAUCGGACUCUACUUUUUCGUGGGGGAUAACGUAGGGAAACUUACGCUAAUACCGCAUACGACCUACGGGUGAAAGCAGGGGAUCUUCGGACCUUGCGCGAUUGAAUGAGCCGAUGUCGGAUUAGCUGGUUGGCGGGGUAAAGGCCCACCAAGGCGGCGAUCCGUAGCUGGUCUGAGAGGAUGAUCAGCCACACUGGAACUGAGACACGGUCCAGACUCCUACGGGAGGCAGCAGUGGGGAAUAUUGGACAAUGGGGGCAAGCCUGAUCCAGCCAUACCGAGUGGGUGAAGAAGGCCUUCGGGUUGUAAAGCCCUUUUGUUGGGAAAGAAAAGCAGCAGGUUAAGACCCCGCUGUUCUGACGGUACCCAAAGAAGAAGCACCGGCUAACUUCGUG
rnacentral:rRNA from 1 species